rnacentral:rRNA from 1 species
AUUGAACGCUGGCGGCAGGCCUAACACAUGCAAGUCGAGCGAGCGGCGGACGGGUGAGUAAUGUCUGGGAAACUGCCUGAUGGAGGGGGAUAACUACUGGAAACGGUAGCUAAUACCGCAUCCCAUCAGAUGUGCCCAGAUGGGCUUAGCUAGUUGGUGGGGUAAGGGCUCACCUAGGCGACAAUCCCUAGCUGGUCUGAGAGGAUUACCAGCCACACUGGAACUGAGACACGGUCCAGACUCCUACGGGAGGCAGCAGUGGGGAAUAUUGCACAAUGGGCGCAAGCCUGAUGCAGCCAUGCCGCGUGUAUGAAGAAGGCCUUCGGGUUGUAAAGUACUUUCAGCGGGGAGGCGUUACCCGCAGAAGAAGCACCGGCUAACUCCGUGCCAGCAGCCGCGGUAAUAC